CACACACACACGCAUGCAUACACAUAAUUUAAAAUGACUUUUAAGAGAGAUUAGUAAAAGAAAGAAAAAUGAGUGUACAUGUGUUUUCUGAGGAAAUAAACUUAUCAUUUGUGUUUUAAGGAUCAAUAUGUGUCUUUCAGAGGUGACAAGUUAUAUCGAGUCAAUCUAAAUCCCAGAGAGAGCUUGCUCAGCUGGAAUAUCAGUCUUUCUUAUAUCUUACUUUUCUUGAAAGCAAAAUAAUGGAAAUAAAAGACAAAAGUGACAUAGAGGUAUUCUAAUUACCCAAAAGCAUAAUAUUUAGAAUUCAUCAGGACAAUGUAUCUCAGGGCAGAGCGUUACACAGUGGAAAUAGCAAUUACCAUGUUUCUCCUGAAAACAAUAAAAAUUACAGAAAUUCAAAUUAGAUGACUCUAAUUAAGUCAGAUUUUUAUUAUACACAGUUAGCUUCCGACAAAAUAAGGGUCAUUUCAAACAUCUUUCACAUGUUUAGCAUGCUUCUAUUUCCUCAUUUCUUUCACGUGGUUUGAAUGCUUCCAUUUCUUCCCAGUGAUUCCACCGAGCAGACAUCAAGAUUCUGAUCAGAGUUAACCAAAGAAACUGUCUUACUAAAGCACUAUAGUGGAUUAAAUAUUUUUUAAUGGAAAGAACAGGGAUAUGCCAAGACAGACAUAAAAAUGGAGGAGAGAUGUAUGACAGACAAAGACGAGUGUGUAGAAAACCAGAAGAGUGCAGAAUGACCUCAGUGCGUGCCUUACGGUCAGGUCAAGCAGAAGUGUGUCAGGUGCAAGGCUGCAGCAGAGGGGAGGAGCCAUUGACUGUGUAGAACGAGAGUGACCAUACACUCCAGCGCUUACAUCAUGAGCAACUCAAGUAUAUAUUAUACCCACCCCUAGAAAAGGUCACAGAUCAUUUCCAUUUUAGAUAUGAAAAUUAGGCGCUUGAAAUAUUUAUAAAUUCUCAUUUAAGAUUUUUAAAGAAAAGUCUUGUAAGUCAAAACAAGGACUAUUAUUUUUCUUUCUUGCAUUAUUGGUAAAUAUGCAUAGAUGUUUUAAUAUGGAGAUACCAUUAAAAUAUAUAUGAUGGUUUUCAAUUGGGAUGUAUAUUGAACAUCACAAUAAGGGUUUGAGAUCUAUUUGGCUACAAAUUUAGAGCGGAUAGUUAAAACACCUUAAACAUAAUUAACUUCCUGGCAGCAUACGUUGUAUCAAGAAGCAAUGAAAGAAAUAUUAAGGAUAAAAUCCAGGAGUUUCUCUGAGGUUCUCAGUGAAUCAUCAAGAAAAGGGCCUGGAGUUUUAUUAUCAGGAAGACACUCGGCACCAGGCUACACAAAGCACGAUCAUGCUUUGCGAGGGAGGAUGACUGCAGAACAAACCUGCUUGUUGGGCCUGAUCACCCAGCUGCAAUUCACUGGAAUAAACUCUGGGAAGGAAAGGCUAGUGCAUGCCCGUGUCUUGAUUGAGUUGAUACUUGUUCCACUUCUGACUUCUAUAGCACAAACAGUCAUCUCAGACUGGUGUUAUCUUUUCUUUGUUGUGGCCUGUGAACCACUUGAUUAAAGAAAGCAGUGUCUCACCUCUGUGCUGGAAACACAGAAAGGAGCUGACUCUGCACACAAACCAUGCCUUUCUUUUCAGUCUUGCAGGGUCUGGGUCUCAUUUGGAAGGAUUAGGAUUUACACAAAUAACGCAAUCAGGGUGACAAAACCCAAGGUUCUUUGUCCAUAUCAGAGAGUAGAUCGGACUGUUUCCUCAGUCAUAUGCUUCAUCUAUAGAGAUUGGUUUUGCUUUGAGUUUUUUAGUCUGGAUAUAGACGGAGGGGAUCUAUCCUGAUACUAUUUAGAAUUGUAAGGAAUGUAAUUAGUAACUCUUAUUCACUAUGGUGAGAAUAUAGAUGCAUCUGCAGUCUAUAUGUCAGAGUACAUUCCUGGUGGAUAUUAGAGGACAAUAUACAAACAGCGUGCAUCUGCUUUACUGAAUCACAUUCACUUAAGUCGGUGCCAGCUGACUUCCUUCCUUCAAUCCUCUAGUUAGCCAUUCUCAAUAAUCUAUAACCAGAGUAUGUUCCAUCUACAUGAAAACCUAGAACAAUAAAUCUCUUUGUGUCAUAAACAUUUUAGACUCCAUAUUUAAAGAAGGGGUAUGGAUAACAGAUAAGCAAUUCCAAAUUAAAAUCUCAGUCUUGGCAAGAUGCUUGUGGUGAAAAACAGGGUGUGAGACUCCAGUUUGAGUAGCUGUUUGCCAAGCUUGCCUUCCGAUGUGGCCUAACCCAGGCUCCAGACCGUCCUAGUUCAGUCCCCCUCAGGGUGAUGUGCCUAAGACUGAGGCUCUCCUCUCAUACCCUGUUGCUCAGAAACAAGUGUCUAACUCUUAAAUAUAACCCCUCUGCCCCACCCUGGUAAUUUCCCUCCAGAGUUCCUCGUUCAGCUGUCCUGCCUCGCCUCCCACUGCCUGCCAGUGUCACGAGGGGAGGGAUCUCUGCUACUUUUUUGGUUCCUUUGGUUGCUCUCGUGAAUGGCAAAGGUACAAAAAUAAGUGGAACAAAUCUCUGUUAAUUUAGAUAUUUUUUAAAAUUUCAUAAGAUUCACUGCUGAUAUAAAAGAGGAACACAAUCAAUUAUUGUUGUCCUUGUAACAUUUAUUUUUCUUGAGCCUGUCUCUGUUUUCACGCUGGAAAAAAAAAAUGUCUCCAAAAAUUUAUGGCAUCAAAUUUGUGGGAAAAAAUUCUUUCUGAUUUUUAUUAACAUCUAUUAAUGAACAGAGCAGAGCUUCUGGGUCCUUAUUGCCAAGAUUUACAAAGGGAUUCCACCAAUUAUUUCACUGGCUUGCUCUGUCUUAAAUGAACUGUUUAUUCUGACUCUGAUGUCAAUUCUGAAAACUACUUCCUAGCCAAAUGUUUUAGACACAUGAACGGAUUUCAUAUUCUUGGAUUUUCCCCCAAAAAUAAUAAAAGUAUACUAACAUUCUCUUUAAAGUGCCCUAAUUAGUCCUAAAAUCUUACUAAAGCUAUAUAUUAUUGACUAAUUGUGUCAGACUUCAUGGUGUUAGAUGAUAUGUUGAUGUUCUAUAUUAGUUCUAAAAUUGGAUGAAUGUUUCUGAUGUGAGUGGUCCUCAAAUACUGAUAGGAGAAUCACACAGUGUGCAUGUGAUAAAGACCCAGUUCUUCAAACCCCAGACUGAACCAUAUCCAAUUAGGAUCAGGCCCAAGAUUUAACAAGUACUUAUCUGAGAGCAAUAUUUUAAAUAGCCAACUACUAGGUGUAGCCUGUGGAGGGAAACCAUGGAUCUCUUCAUUACUCCUUCCUGUUAGUUGCCCAAUAAGUAGUUUUUGUUAAUGAUUAUUAGCACUUCAAUAAAUGUGAAUUGUUUAGACUCAUUCUAUGAGAAAAUAUUAAUAAAGGGUGGUAACAAAUAAUUUUCAUAAUUGUUCAGUAGGCAUUUACUGCACACUAAAUUGUACAAAUAGAAUAAGAUGCUUUCUUGAGCAGUAUAUUUAAAAGCACUACUAAAUACUUCAAAAAGUAUAAAUAAUAUCCAUGCUAGAGUGAAUAGUGAAUAAUAUUUAGAUUAGAUAAAUUAAUAAUAGAACACAGGUGAGGGCCAGUGUGCAUAUGAACGAUGUAAUGCUUAAAAUAGUGUCUCUCAUAUUUGAGGAACAUCAGAAUCACCUAGUGGGGUGAUUAAGCCAAAGCUGAGCCCAACCCUCAGGGUGCCUGAUGCCACUGCCAAUGAAAGGACCAAAGACCUUAAAUUUCUAAUAAGUUCCCAGGUACACUGAUGCCCUGUUCAGAGGACCACACAUUUAUAGAUGUGCUGUAUAGAGGCUGCAAACUACUGAUGCAGAGCAAGUGACCAGAGGUACCAUGGGCCAUCAGGGUUAGUAGAGAGCAAGUGACCAGAGGUACCGUGGGCCAUCAGUGUUAGUAGGGAGCAAGUGACCAGAGGUACCGUGGGACAUCAGUAGAUUUCAGGAUGCUAUUAGCUGUGGAGUUCUGCUCAUCAUCACCCCUUUGAUAAGAUCCCCAGAACCCUAGUCUUUAAAAACAGAUAGGAAGGAUGA